GUGGAAACGCAUAAGCGACCAGUUCAAUGCUGUGGUUGGCUACCACAUCCUAUCGGACACCACAGCAGUUGCGUUUAAAAUGGGAAGAUCUUAAAAAGAAUUCCCGUAAACGCAGUACACAAAUACGUAUGAAUAACAUAAAGACUUGUGGCGGUCGUUCAUCCUACAUCCCCCCUGAUGAUGUGUUGGACAGGGUGGCUGCAUUGUUAGGAAGUACAGUAGAUGGGUUCACAGUAGCGUAUGGUGGUGAUGCGGAACUAAUACCAUGUGUCGGCAGUAUUAAUGGUGGUGGUGAUGAACAUGGUUUGGAGGGUGUUGCAGUUUUAGAUAAUUUAAUUGAUAAUGGUGCUGAGGUGUUGGAGUGUGAUAGUGGUGUUGAGGUGUUGAAAGAGUGUGUGGUCGAAGACACAGGGCCUUGCUCAGUCACACCACCUAAGCCCAAAAUUUUACACAUUCCCAAAGCCAGCGAUAAAUUAUUUUAUUAAGUUAUUUAUAUUUUCCCUUUGCAUAAUAUUGUUGUUGCCAAAGUGGGGUAGUUUAUCAAGUACAAAAGUUAUUACUUAAAAUUAGAAUUUAUCUUUCUUUACAACUACAAGUUGUAAAUUUUCUAAUUUUCAUAAAAUUGAAUAAAUUUCCAGAAGCUUGUGGCCUAGUUUAUUUCAAUUAUAGAUAGUAGAAAGAUUUUAGAGUUUAUUGUGGACUGAUAGACAGAAAAUGCAUGCGGAAACUUUAUUGUUGUCUUAAUACUUCAAAGUUAAGACGGGAAGAAAUGCACGUGGAGACUUUAUUCUGAAGGUUAAGUCUCCGCGAUAAUUACUAAUAUUUUUUCUUUAAUUCUUACUGGUUUCAAAAGAAAAUCAAAAUUUGAUGAGCACCUGGCAUCCAGAAACCAGGCAUUGGUAAAUUAUUAUAAUGUAAAAACUAAACUUUUAGAAGCAAAAUUUGAAAAUAUAGCGUUAGAAAAUAAAAAAUUAAAAUAAAAAAUUUAAAAACUUAAAAAUAUAAAUUAACUUUAUAUUAUAUUAUAAGUUGAUAUUUUUGUUUGUAUUUUUAUGCAGGUCUUAUAUUAUCUAUAUUUUUUUGUGUUAUAAAUAAAUACCUAAUUAAGUUAGCAGUUAAAAUGAUAAGUUUGUUCCAAUGUUUGUGCUAAAUAUAAAUAAUAGAUAAAUAUGUUCAUUUAUAAUAAAACGAAAUAACAAUUACAUACAAAAA